AGUGAACGCUGGCGGCAGGCCUAACACAUGCAAGUCGAACGGCAGCACAGUAAGAGCUUGCUCUUACGGGUGGCGAGUGGCGGAAGGGUGAGGAAUACAUCGGAAUCUACUUUUUCGUGGGGGGUAACGUAGGGAAACUUACGCUAAUACCGCUUACGACCUACGGGUGAAAGCAGAGGAUCUUCGGACCUUGCGCGAGUGAAUGAGCCGAUGUCGGAUUAGCUAGUUGGCGGGGUACCGGCCCACCAAGGCGUCGAUCCGUAGCUGGUCUGAGAGGAUGAUCAGCCACACUGGAACUGAGACACGGUCCAGACUCCUACGGGAGGCAGCAGUGGGGAAUAUUGGACAAUGGGCGCAAGCCUGAUCCAGCCAUACCGCGUGGGUGAAGAAGGCCUUCGGGUUGUAAAGCCCUUUUGUUGGGAAAGAAAAGCAGUAGGUUAAUACCCCGCUGUUCUGACGGUACCCAAAGAAUAAGCACCGGCUAACUUCGUG
rnacentral:rRNA from 1 species